GUGAGGGACCGUGAGGAGCGGUGAGGGACGGUGAGGGACCGUGAGGAGCGGUGAGCGCGGCGCGAACCCCCCGCAACUCCUGAGUGAGCGGGCAGCGCUGAAAAAAUAGACACUGCGACGCUGCAGCGUGAGAGCAUCAUGUAAAUCAGGCGAAAAGGGGGAAGGGAGCGACUGAAGGAAGAAAAUUAACUAUGAGGGGAAACCUGAGAAGUUCAAGUCCUGGUUCUGAUCUGGAUGCCAGUUGUUUCACAGACUGCAAGAGCAAAAGAAGUGUCCAGGAGAGGUCUGUCCCGCCCAGGUGGCAUUCUGUCUGACAUUCUGUUCACGAUAUUUGUUAUCCGUAAGAGAUCAGAUGUCAGCUCUUUCCGAUUUCGUUUGCUGACUGACGCACAGGAAUAAUCACACUCCAGUCAAAGGAAAUUAACUAAA